rnacentral:rRNA from 1 species
GACGAACGCUGGCGGCGUGCUUAACACAUGCAAGUCGUACGGUAAGGCCCUUUCGGGGGUCCACGAGUGGCGAACGGGUGAGUAACACGUGAGUAACCUGCCCACAACUUUGGGAUAACGCUAGGAAACUGGUGCUAAUACUGGAUAUGUGCUCCUGCUGCAUGGUGGGGGUUGGAAAGCUCCGGCGGUUGUGGAUGGACUCGCGGCCUAUCAGCUUGUUGGUGGGGUAGUGGCCUACCAAGGCGGCGACGGGUAGCCGGCCUGAGAGGGUGACCGGCCACAUUGGGACUGAGAUAAGGCCCAGGCUCCUACGGGAGGCCGCAGUGGGGAAUAUUGAACAAUGGGCGCAAGCCUGAUGCAGCAACGCCGCGUGCAGGAUGACGGCCUUCGGGUUGUAAACCGCUUUCAGCAGGGACGAAGCUUUUUGUGACGGUACCUGCAGAAGAAGCACCGGCUAACUACGUG